rnacentral:rRNA from 1 species
CCUACGGGUGGCAGCAGUGGGGAAUAUUGCGCAAUGGGGGCAACCCUGACGCAGCAACGCCGCGUGGAUGAAGAAGGCCUUCGGGUUGUAAAGAUCUUUAAUCGGGGACGAAUGUUGCCGGUACCCGAAGAAUAAGCACCGGCUAACUACGUGCCAGCAGCCGCGGUAAAAGGUAGGGAGCAAGCGUUAGCCGGAUUUACUGGGUGUAAGGGGCGUGUAGGCGGGCAUGAAAGUCAGAUUUGACAUCUGGGGGCUUAACCCACAAACUGCUUUUGAAACUGCGUGUCUUGUGUGAGGGGGCGGCAGGCGGAAUUCCCAGUGUAGCGGUGAAAUGCGUAGAUAUUGGGAGGAACACCAGUGGCGAAGGCGGCCUGCUGGACAUUAACUGACGCUGAUGCGCG